GUGAAUCCGAUUCUGAUAAAAAAAUUCCUGGAGAGAUAAGCCAGCGAACAACAUACAUGUUCCUAGAAUCAAAGAAAUGAAAAUUAUAUGUGGCCACCAUAUCUUUCAUGAAAUUCUAUUUGUAAUUAAUAAAUUUUUAUUAUGUAAAAAAUAAGCAUCAAUUUGUAAUUAAAAAGUUUGUUUUAUGUAAAAAAAUAAAGCAAGAUAAGGCCCAAAUACAAAUACGAUCCAAUCGGUUAUCGACAGAGAAUUACAGUCCACGGGGAAGUUCACCGUCAUUAUAUACACGGAGCGCAUGCAUGUAUGUAAAACUAAACUACGACUUGAACAGAAACAAAAAAAAAACUAACAAAGAAAAAAAACUAAAAGCGCGUUUAUAUAAAUGGAAGAGAAUUUGUACUCCCUACACACAACAUAUAUCCUAUUUGCACUCCAUACUCUAUUUCCCCCCAAUUUUUUUCCCAAUAGUUAAAUUAAUUAAAUAAAUGAAAACGGAAACUCAAAUAUAAGACAGCUGUUCGGUCAUAUAUAACCAUCGAAAUAAAAGUUUUGUAACCACACAAAAAAAAUAGAAGAAUGGAAAAGCUGUCGUC
rnacentral:lncRNA from 1 species